rnacentral:rRNA from 1 species
GAUGAACGCUGGCGGCGUGCCUAAUACAUGCAAGUCGAGCGAAUAGAUGAGGAGCUUGCUCCUCUGACGUUAGCGGCGGACGGGUGAGUAACACGUGGAUAACCUACCUAUAAGACUGGGAUAACUUCGGGAAACCGGAGCUAAUACCGGAUAAUAUAUUGAACCGCAUGGUUCAAUAGUGAAAGACGGUUUUGCUGUCACUUAUAGAUGGAUCCGCGCCGCAUUAGCUAGUUGGUAAGGUAACGGCUUACCAAGGCAACGAUGCGUAGCCGACCUGAGAGGGGGAUCGGCCACACUGGAACUGAGACACGGUCCAGAAUCAUACGGGAGGCAGCAGUAGGGAAUCUUCAGCAAUGGGCGAAAGCAUGACGGAGCAACGCCGCGUGAGUGAUGAAGGUCUUCGGAUCGUAAAACUCUGUUAUUAGGGAAGAACAAAUGUGUAAGUAACUAUGCACGUCUUGACGGUACCUAAUCAGAAAGCCACGGCUAACUACGUG